CUAGCUCGAUUUGUGAAUGUGCCCUUUGUCAUCGCUGAUGCAACAACUUUGACACAGGUGCAUCACUUUUCCAACUGUGGGGUAAGAUGGUGCUUUUAAUUUCUGGGACAAAGACAGUAAACAGAGACGCAAGUUGUGUCAAGAAGCGUUGCUGCAAGAUGGGUAUAGGAAAGAUUGAGAUCAAGAUGAUCGAGAACGUACACUACCAAUCGUCAAGUCACUUUCUGCAAGCGGAGAAAUGAACUCUUGAAGAAAGCUUGUGCUGUUGCUUGCUUGGUAUGCACCAAGGCUUGUGCUGUUACUUGUGCUAUUAGCUUGUGCUGUUACUUGCUUGCUUGGUAUGACACCAAGGCUUCUGAAGUGUAACUGUUAGUAGCAUUCUCUUUCAAUAAUCGUGAGCCAUGACUGGAUACAAAACAGAGGUGGCUGUGAUUGGCCUUUUAUAGUUUAAGAUUAUGUUUAUAGUUUACAUGUUUUGUUUAGCCCGUUAUUUUCUCUAAAAUUCUUUCAAACAAAAUUCAGUAUACUUCAUAAUUAGUUCUGGAUUUAUUUUGGCCAAAUAGUUAUGCUUGGUUGAGCUGAUCUUUUCUCCAAUAGUUCAGCUUCAUCUGUUUAUAGUCCAACAACAGUAAGUUGGCUUUCAUUUUGUAACUUGGUGUCUUCGAU